GCAGCAGCCACGGUAAUACAGAGGGUGCGAGCGUUAAUCGGAUUUACUGGGCGUAAAGCGUGCGUAGGCGGCUUCUUAAGUCGGAUGUGAAAUCCCUGAGCUUAACUUAGGAAUUGCAUUCGAUACUGGGAAGCUAGAGUAUGGGAGAGGAUGGUAGAAUUCCAGGUGUAGCGGUGAAAUGCGUAGAGAUCUGGAGGAAUACCGAUGGCGAAGGCAGCCAUCUGGCCUAAUACUGACGCUGAGGUACGAAAGCAUGGGGAGCAAACAGGAUUAGAUACCCCGGUAGUCCCUGUCUCUUAUAA
rnacentral:rRNA from 1 species